UUAUCCUUGCUGGGCUGGGAACUGGGGAAAGCAGGGGAGCCUGUGCUGGGUGAGAUUAUCUGCAAUGGACCGGGUUAAUGGGAGGCUUGCUUUGGCUCGCUGGAAGAACAAAUGAAGGGAGUUUUACUUCAACCAUUUGUGACUUCUGGCCAAGAGGAAUAAAUUCAGCUUUUAUAAGGCAGCAGUACCUGUCCAAAGAUCGCUUUAGUUCCACCUUGCUCCACAAGCAGCACAACCACACUGGUUGGUGAGAAUGUAUCUGAAGAAGAGGCUCAGGGAAUAAAUGGGAACAGGCCAGCAAAACACUCAGCUGCAAGUCCAAAGCCACAAGUGCCUCCAAAGCCAUUACACCUGCAGAAUUCACCUUCGUCCAAUAUACACCAAACCCCCAGGCAUAAAGCUUUACCUAGUGCAAAACCAAGGAUGGAGGAAAUUAAACCUGCCUCUGCUUCUUGUGUCUCAAAAGAAAAACCCAGUAAGGUAUCAGAUCUCAUCAGUCGCUUUGAAGGAGGCAGAGGAUCUGUUGAGGAUCUUUCCACCAGGGAAUCCAGAGACUGAU
rnacentral:sRNA from 1 species